rnacentral:lncRNA from 10 species
UGCUACUCAUUUACUGUCACUUUCUUAAUGACAAUGGAAAAUGCUGGCUCCUCUUCUAUAUCCAGGGCUACACAUUUAAACAAAACACUCUUAUUUCCCGCUCAAUGCUAUCUCUGAUUUUGGCAAAGUACAGGUGGGUGAGAGUAUUAGAUUUUGCAGUUAUUUCUUGAGGCAUAUUUAAGACAUCAAAGAUAAAAACACAUGGAGUCACGUGUAAUAAUCUUAGAGUCCAAUAAAUGACUAGCUACUUGAUUAAACCAAAUGGCAUUAUAGCAUGUUAAUAAGGAUUAAACAGACGCAUUUUCACCGUCAUUACUUAGAUGGAAUGAGUAUUUUUUUUUGUUAACUUUUAUUUUAGGUUCAGGGGUACAUAUGAAGGUUUGUUAUAUAGGUAAACUAGUGUCAUGGGGGUUUGUUGUACAGAUUAUUUUGUCACCCAGGUACGAAGCCUAUUAACCAAUAGUUAUUUCUUUCUGUUCCUCUCCCUCCACCCACCCUCCACCCUCAAGGAGGCCCCAGUGUGUGUUGUUCCCUUCUCUGGGUCCAUGUGCUCUCAUCGCUUAGCUCCCACUUACAAGUGAGAACAUGCAGCAUUUGGUUUUCUGCUCCUGCAUUAGUUUGCUAAGGAUAAUGGCCUCCAGCUCCAUCCAUGUUCCCAUAAAAUACAUGAUCUUGUUUUUUAUAGCUGCAUAGUAUUCCGUGGUGUAUAUGUACCACAUUUUCUUUAUUCAAUUUGCCAUUAUGGGCAUUUAGAUUGAUUCCAUGUCUUUGCUAUUGUGAACACUGCUGUAAUGAACAUUCACAUGCAUGUGUCUUUAUAGCAGAAUGAUUUAUAUUCCUCUGGGUAUAUUCCCAGUAAUGGCAUUGCUGGGUUGAAUAGUAGUUGUUUUUAGCUCUUUCAGAAAUUGCCACAUUGCUUUUUACAAUGGUUGAACUAAGGUACACUCCCACCAACGGUAUAUUUGUGUUGUUUACUUUACAACCUCGUCAACAUCUGUUCUUUUUUGACUUUUUAAUGACUGGUGUGAGAUGGUAUCUCAUUGUGGUUUUGAAGACAGACAUGCAACCAACAAGCAUAUUUUAAAAAGCUGAAUAUCACUGAUCAUUAUGGAUAAGCAUUUUAAGUUAGAUAACUGAUAACAAUUAUAUUCCUUAUUUUAAAUAUAGUCAUUGAUAUACUACAAAUUGUAUUUCUCUCUCUAUGUUUGCCUAUAAAAUUUAUUUACUUAAUCAAAAUGGUUGCCUGAUAUAAUUUCCCCUGCAAAAGUUGUCAAAAGAAUAAUGUUAUUGCCUUAGGCAGGAACUCAAGCACAAAGAUAAAAAGCUGUAUCUGAGUAUUUGCUGUAUUUUAUUUGUUCACAUUUAGCCUAUUUGAGGUUAACACUACUUCAUUUGACAGUUUAAAAAGCAAGAUUAAUAAGUUAUAAUACACACAUAUCACUGACAGAUUCAUCUUUUUGUUUUUUAGAAUUCACGAAAUAAACUGUAUUCUGGUAAAUC